rnacentral:rRNA from 1 species
GAUUAACGCUGGCGGUAUGCCUAACACAUGCAAGUCGAACGGAAUACUAAUUAAGAGAAUCUCACACUAGUGAGAGGUUCUCACGAGUAGUAUUUAGUGGCGGACGGGUGAGUAACACGUUGGAACCUGCCCCGAAGUGGGGAAUAACUGCUCGAAAGAGUAGCUAAUACCCCAUAGUAUCCGGUUUAUCCGGAUUAAAGAUUUAUCGCUUUGGGAGGGCCUGCGUCUGAUUAGCUAGUUGGUGAGGUAAAAGCUCACCAAGGCGACGAUCAGUAGCUGGUUCGAGAGGAUGACCAGCCACACUGGGACUGAGAUACGGCCCAGACUCCUACGGGAGGCAGCAGUGAGGAAUCUUCCACAAUGGGCGCAAGCCUGAUGGAGCAAUACCGCGUGCAGGAAGACGCUUUUCGGAGUGUAAACUGCUUUUGUCGUCGAAGAUUAUGACUGUAGACGAAGAAUAAGGACCGGCUAACUACGUGCCAGCAGCCGCGGU